GACGAACGCUGGCGGCGUGCUUAACACAUGCAAGUCGAACGGAAGGGCCCUGCUUUUGUGGGGUGCUCGAGUGGCGAACGGGUGAGUAACACGUGAGUAACCUGCCCUUGACUGUGGGAUAACUUCAGGAAACUGGGGCUAAUACCGGAUAGGAGCUCCUGCUGCAUGGUGGGGGUUGGAAAGUUUCGGCGGUUGGGGAUGGACUCGCGGCUUAUCAGCUUGUUGGUGGGGUAGUGGCUUACCAAGGCUUUGACGGGUAGCCGGCCUGAGAGGGUGACCGGCCACAUUGGGCCUGAGAUACGGCCCAGACUCCUACGGGAGGCAGCAGUGGGGAAUAUUGCACAAUGGGCGGAAGCCUGAUGCAGCAACGCCGCGUGCGGGAUGACGGCCUUCGGGUUGUAAACCGCUUUCGCCUGUGACGAAGCGUGAGUGACGGUAAUGGGUAAAGAAGCACCGGCUAACUACGUG
rnacentral:rRNA from 1 species